CCUACGGGAGGCAGCAGUGAGGAAUAUUGGUCAAUGGACGAGAGUCUGAACCAGCCAAGUAGCGUGAAGGAUGACUGCCCUAUGGUUUGUAAACUUCUUUUAUAUGGGAAUAAAAUGUUCCACGUGUGGGAUUUUGUAUGUACCAUAUGAAUAAGGAUCGUCUAACUCCGUGCCAGCAGCCGCGGUAAUACGGAGGAUCCGAGCGUUAUCCGGAUUUAUUGGGUUUAAAGGGAGCGUAGGUGGAUUGUUAAGUCAGUUGUGAAAGUGUGCGGCUCAACCGUAAAAUUGCAGUUGAAACUGGCAGUCGUGAGUACAGGAGAGGUGGGCGGAAUUCGUGGUGUAGCGGUGAAAUGCUUAGAUAGCACGAAGAACUCCGAUGGCGAAGGCAGCUCACUGGACUGCAACUGACACUGAGGCUCGAAAGUGUGGGUAUCAAACAGGAUUAGAUACCCUAGUAGUC
rnacentral:rRNA from 1 species